GAUUCAACGUAGAUCCCGAGAAUUUGACGUACGAGCCUCCACGUCGGCCUCAGAGCGACACUCGUGAACAGCCACAGCAGCAGCGACCAAUCCCACAGCAACCAGUUGCGCCCCAGCAGGGGGCACAAGGGCAACAGGAGUUUCCUUUCGGUGUGGUUCCACCCCCCCAGCAAGCCGCCCCACAACAAGAUGGGCAUAUGCCUCCGCCUCCUUUCAGGCGAACAAUCUUUGAGCAUACUUUCGCAAUUCCACUCCCACCAGCGGCGUUCCCUCCACCACACCCGCAGCCAGUGAAUCCUUCUACUCAAACCCAGCCUGAAAUGCGUCAA
rnacentral:misc_RNA from 1 species